ACGCUCGACACCUACGAGAGGCAGCAGUGGGGGGAUAUUGCACAAUGGAGGAAACUCUGAUGCAGCGACGCCGCGUGAGGGAAGACGGUUUUCGGAUUGUAAACCUCUGUCUUCAGGGACGAAAUGAAUGACGGUACCUGAGGAGGAAGCUCCGGCUAACUACGUGCCAGCAGCCACGGUAAUCUGAGCGGGCUGGCAAGGC
rnacentral:rRNA from 1 species